UCUUCCUCUGAUUAUAUCUGAAUCUGUCAAUUAAUUCUGUCAAUUGAUCAAAGCAAUUUCUGUCAAUUGAUCAAAGCAAUCACUUAUCUGUCAAUUGAUUCUGUUUUGUUUUUUUUGUUUAAUUUCUUGUGGGUUUUUAAAAUAUGACAAUCGAUGUUGAUGUUAUCGAAAUCUCCUCCCGUUUUUAGUUUCUUUAGGUGAUGUUUUUGUUGAUUUCCAAAAUCAUUGGUUUAUGCACAAGGAUUAGUUGAAACGUUAUUUUUCAAUCCCAUGAUGAUGUUGAUGAUGAUAAUUACCCGUUGAAUGAUUGUAUAAUUUUUGUGGUAAAAAGAGUAUUAAGAUAUGGAUUCUACAAAGAGUUGGUUUCAGAAGCGUCAGAUGCGUGGAGGAUCCAAAUAUAACGGUGGCUCAGGUGGUUGUGGUGGUAGUAAUGGCUCUUUGAUAUUUAAACAGGCAAAGCUUGCUAGAGCAGAAGCUGGCAGAUGCUGAUGUUUCUGAAGAAGAUCAAAACAAUCUUCUCAAGUUUCUGGAGAAGAAGGAGAUAGUGUACAUACGCCUUCAACGCCAUAAGCUAGGCGUUGCUGAUUUCGAUUUGCUUACCAUGAUUGGUAAAGGUGCUUUUGGGGAGGUAAUUGUAAAUGCAUCUAUAUUUUCUUCACUCCCUUCCGCCUUCUUGGAAACGUGCAUUAUGUUUGUUUGUUAGAGUUUGUAGAGAAAAGACUACAGGUCAAGUUUAUGCAAUGAAAAAGCUCAAGAAGGCUGAGAUGCUUCGCAGAGGCCAGGUUGAGCAUGUGAGAUCAGAGAGGAACUUACUUGCAGAAGUUGACAAUAACUACUUCAAGGGUUGGUCUUGGUUUGCUUCGUCCUGAGAUGCUUAUCCAUAAGAGGGCUUGACUCUACAUCUUGGAUAAUCAAUCUCGACUCUGCAUCUUGUUCUGAGGCUAAGGGGAGAGAGAGAAGGGAGAGUGAUUCUCUAACCCUUUUUCCUCUUCGAAGCUUUCUUACGAUAACAUAAACUUUUUGUGAAUCAUAGUCUUUCCAAUUAAUAUUGUCGUAUGCGGAAAAUCAUUCGCAAGUGAAGGAACCCUAAUAAGAUGUUGUCAGACUACAUACAAGACGAUGAUGUCGGCCAGUCUGCUGAAUUCAUAUAUAUCAAAAACUAAAGUGUAGUGUUGAUGGAACGCGACACGAAUUGACCCCACGAAUGAACAUUAAGCGCGUCGGCUGAAUUAUGUUGCAUGAUCCAAAGAAGAACAUACGUGCUGGACUACGACACUACCCCUCUCCGACCUUUUUUUUUUUUUUUAACAGAGAUGUUCCGCACCUGUAGAUACGUAGACACUUCCGUAGCUUUCCGCAACUCAUAGACCCGUAGUCACUUCCGUAGCUUUCCGUAAUUCUUAGGUCCAUAAUUACCCCUUGUCCGGACCAGCCAUCAAUAAUACCCAUUACUCAAGGGCUCAACACCAACACCGUGCUUAAAUUUAAACUUGGAGAGGGUAUAAAACAUUCCGUGACCAUAUAAGAUAUUCGAACCCCAAUUUUUAUCGGCGUUGGAACUGCCUUAAGACCACUAGUCCACUACUCCGUGGUUACCCCUCUCCGACCUCUAAUUAUAUAAAUUUAAUUUUGCAUAGAUAAUUAUAAAAUGUUAGAAAUAGAAAAAAAUAUGCAUAUUAUUUCACUACAAAAAAAACAUGUUUAUAACAACGAAAAGUUACAAAAAUAUUCUCCUCAUAAAUCUAUGCGUAACUUACAAUGACUUUUAAGCCCUUUUUCAAACAAAAAAAAACUUACAAUGACUUUUAGAGGAAUUUAACUUCGUUGUAAAAUUACAAGGAAAUUAGAGGGGGUACUAUUUAACAACAACUCCCACAUAUAAUAUAAGGGGCAUAUUUUUUCUGCUUAAGUACGACAUAAUUGUUUUUUUAGAAAUAGUACGACAUAAUUGUUGUUUUCGUUUAUACUGUUUUUCUAUCUAAACCGUUUGAAACAUUAUAGGGGUCGC